CAUAAGCCUUGAACCCAGAUGAUUUAACUCUCCUAUCUGGGCUUCGCCUAUGGAGAACACUGUGACAUACCUCUGCACCCAUCAUCUAGGUGAUGUGACUCUCCUCUCCUGCCUGGUUCUGGCUCACAGAAGGGAAUGUAACAUAUCUCUGGAUCCAGCACCUAGGGAAUGAAAAUACCCUUGAAGAGUAAAAAUAAAGUGACUGCUGAUUAAGCAGAGUUUCACAUGAAAAAAGGAUUCCUUCUCAGAUAAGAUUCUCUGGACAAAUUACACCGCAUCUUGAGACUAUGCCUUGAAAGGUGUCAGCACCACAUGUUUACCUGCUACCACCACACCCACAGGCAGAAGACCCAAAACAGAAAAAACUCCACCCAUUUCUGUACUUUAUAACAGAAGAGAUUCAGCAACAAUGAGCUGCUCUACAGAUAUAAAAAUACAAGUUUCUCCUUUCCUGUCUUCAGGUGCCCUCCCCUGCCAGCAAUUUCUGCUACAGUAACAAAAAUAUGAGCCACACUGCCCUGUCCCUAUGAAACCCAAAGAAAAGAGGCUCUAGGACUACCCUUUAGUGCACAGGUGAAACUUAACUCUCAUAAAUGUAUCUUGAACCCCCUAUACUUGAUUCUGGCCACAACUUAGAGUCACAUGAGGCAGUUAAUUAAAAUAACAUGAAUGCUUCCACCCAGAACAUUAAACAGAACCUGUGGGAAGGGCACCAGUAAAGGGAGUUCUGCAAACUGGCCAUGUGAUUGUAAUUAGCAGC